AAGGAUUUAAGUUAAAGGAAAACUAACAACCUUCAAAGUUGUAAAUAGAGAAAGGCUCUAAGCCUUA
rnacentral:tRNA from 1 species